CCAGGUGGCUCAGACAGUAAAGUGUCUGCCUGCAAUGCAGGAGACCUGGGUUUGAUUCCUGGGUCUGGA
rnacentral:tRNA from 1 species